rnacentral:rRNA from 1 species
GCGAACCGGGUGAACUGAAACAUCUCAGUAGCUCGAGGAAAAGAAAUCAACCGAGAUUCCGAAAGUAGUGGCGAGCGAAAUCGGAAGAGCCUUUACGUUUUAGCACGCAAGAUAGUCGAACGGAAUGGAAAGUCCGGCCGUAGCAGGUGAUAGCCCUGUAGGCGAAAUCUUGUGUGUGGAACUAAGCGUAAGAAAAGUAGGGCGGGACACGUGAAAUCCUGUUUGAAGAUGGGGGGACCAUCCUCCAAGGCUAAAUACUCGUGAUCGACCGAUAGUGAACCAGUACCGUGAGGGAAAGGCGAAAAGAACCCCGGAAGGGGAGUGAAAUAGAUCCUGAAACCGUAUGCAUACAAACAGUAGGAGCCUCCUUGUGGGGUGACUGCGUACCUUUUGUAUAAUGGGUCAGCGACUUACAUUCAGUGGCAAGGUUAACCGAAUAGGGAAGCCGUAGCGAAAGCGAGUCCGAAUAGGGCGAUUCAGUCGCUGGGUGUAGACCCGAAACCAGAUGAUCUAUCCAUGGCCAGGUUGAAGGCACGGUAACACGUGCUGGAGGACCGAACCCACUAAUGUUGAAAAAUUAGGGGAUGAGCUGUGGAUAGGGGUGAAAGGCUAAACAAAUCUGGAAAUAGCUGGUUCUCUCCGAAAACUAUUUAGGUAGUGCCUCAAGUAUUACUGCGGGGGGUAGAGCACUGUUAUAGCUAGGGGGUCAUGGCGACUUACCAAACUAUGGCAAACUCCGAAUACCCGCAAGUACAGCUUGGGAGACAGAGCACCGGGUGCUAACGUCCGGACUCAAGAGGGAAACAACCCAGACCGCCAGCUAAGGUCCCAAAUUAUCGCUAAGUGGGAAACGAAGUGGGAAGGCAUAGACAGUCAGGAGGUUGGCUUAGAAGCAGCCAUCCUUUAAAGAAAGCGUAAUAGCUCACUGAUCGAGUCGUCCUGCGCGGAAGAUGUAACGGGGCUAAGCGAUAAACCGAAGCUGCGGGUGUGCACUUUGUGCACGCGGUAGGAGAGCGUUCUGUAAGCCUGCGAAGGUGGCUUGUAAAGGCUGCUGGAGGUAUCAGAAGUGCGAAUGCUGACAUGAGUAGCGAUAAAGGGGGUGAAAAGCCCCCUCGCCGUAAGUCCAAGGUUUCCUGCGCAACGUUCAUCGGCGCAGGGUGAGUCGGCCCCUAAGGCGAGGCAGAGAUGCGUAGCUGAUGGGAAGCUGGUUAAUAUUCCAGCACCGUCGUACAGUGCGAUGGGGGGACGGAUCGCGGAAGAUCAUCAGGGUGUUGGAUGUCCCUGUUGCUGCAUCGAAGAUGGCGCUUAGGCAAAUCCGGGCGCGUAAAUCAAGGGUGUGGCACGAGCGAGCAUUGCUUGCGAAGUGAUUGGAAGUGGUUCCAAGAAAAGCCUCUAAGCUUCAGCUGUACGAGACCGUACCGCAAACCGACACAGGUGGACGGGAUGAAUAUUCCAAGGCGCUUGAGAGAACUCAGGAGAAGGAACUCGGCAAAUUGAUACCGUAACUUCGGGAGAAGGUAUACCCCGGUAGUGUGAAGCGCCUGCGCGCUUAGCAUGAUGGGGUCGCAGAGAAUCGGUGGCUGCGACUGUUUAUUAAAAACACAGCACUCUGCAAAGACGAAAGUCGACGUAUAGGGUGUGACGCCUGCCCGGUGCCGGAAGGUUAAGUGAUGGGGUGCAAGCUCUUGAUCGAAGCCCCGGUAAACGGCGGCCGUAACUAUAACGGUCCUAAGGUAGCGAAAUUCCUUGUCGGGUAAGUUCCGACCUGCACGAAUGGCGUAACGAUGGCCACACUGUCUCCUCCUGAGACUCAGCGAAGUUGAAGUGUUUGUGAUGAUGCAAUCUACCCGCGGCUAGACGGAAAGACCCCAUGAACCUUUACUGUAGCUUUGCAUUGAUCUGUGAACCGGCCUGUGUAGGAUAGGUGGGAGGCUUUGAAGCGU